rnacentral:rRNA from 1 species
GAUGAACGCUGGCGGCGUGCCUAAUACAUGCAAGUCGAGCGAACAGACGAGGAGCUUGCUCCUCUGACGUUAGCGGCGGACGGGUGAGUAACACGUGGAUAACCUACCUAUCAGACUGGGGUAACUUCGGGAAACCGGAGCUAAUACCGGAUAAUAUAUUGAACCGCAUGGUUCAAUAGUGAAAGACGGUUUUGCUGUCACUUAUAGAUGGAUCCGCGCCGCAUUAGCUAGUUGGUAAGGUAACGGCUUACCAAGGCGACGAUGCGUAACCGACCUGAGAGGGUGAUCGGCGACACUGGAGCUGAGACACGGUCCAGACUCCUACGGGAGGCAGCAGUAGGGAAUCUUCCGCAAUGGGCGAAAGCCUGACGGAGCAACGCCGCGUGAGUGAUGAAGGUCUUCGGAUCGUAAAACUCUGUUAUUAGGGAAGAACAAAUGUGUAAGUAACUAUGCACGUCUUGACGGUACCUAAUCAGAAAGCCACGGCUAACUACGUG